GGGCCAGUAAGUUCAGUUGGUUUGAGUGUGGUGCUGAUAACACCAAGGUCGUGGGUCAAAUUCCCGUUUGGUCCC
rnacentral:tRNA from 1 species